AUGUCCGCUGGUGGAACAAUCAUGAAGAAGACCAUUGAUGGUGCAAUUAUUCUCAUUGAGAGCAUUUCCUUCCACCAAAUGCAAUGGGGUUAUGAAAGGCCCAGUUCAAAUCCGAAGGUUGCAAGCCAUCUGCAAUCAGAAGCUGUGUGUUCCAUAAGUGAACAGAAAUCAUCGAUGGUGCCUAAUAUUCAAAACCAGCAUGUUCCAUUCCGGGGACAACAACAUUUCAGAGCUGAAUUAGAUCCUCCAUGUAGAAAGAUUGAUCUUACUUCAAGUAUCCUUGAUGAUGAUUAUGAUAUUUUUCAAGAUGAUGCAACCAUUGUAGAUCAGAUGGAAACCACAGUAGCAGAUCCAAUACCUCAAUGCAAUGAAACUGUCCAGACUGAGUCAAAGUUGCAAGAAGAUGUUUAUGAGGAACCUACUCUGAUUGAUGCUAAGUUGAGACAACAAGAUAUGGAGAAAUUCACUUGUGUUAGUCAACUACGUGACUGGUGGAAUUUAGUCGUGGCACCAAUUGCCCACACUUGUGUUACAACUGUAUCUGGGAUAUUUGUCAAGAAGAAAUCAUUAGCUCCACCGGUGGUUGCCUCUAUCUCAGUUAAAGAGAGUAUCUCAGAGAAGAAUAGUGAAGAUGAGAUUCCAACUCCUGCACAUACAUCUAAGCAAGUCGGAGACAUUCCAAGGAGAGAGAUACAAGAGGUUGAGUCAAAUUUAGAAGAGUUGAUACUUCAAUAUCCUGAGAAGAUCCCACGUGUUGCUGAGCUGCAUGACUGGUGGAAGUCAUCAGUGUCAUUGUUGAAACUCAACAGUGAUGGUGAUGAGGAGAAUAUUGCUCAGAAAGACAGCGAGGUAGUGAUCUCAGCACCCCUACCAGAUCAUGUUAGUGCAUAUUCACAGAUGGGGACACUUCAGACUCAAUUAGGUGUUGCUGGUAGUAGCACCAUAGAAGAUCCAGAGGAAGAGAGAUCUCAACUUGAAGAAGAAAUACUCGAAGACGAGGAACAAGAUGAUCCAAAGCUCGAACAACCAAGUGAUCAAGUUGAAGAGUCAUCAUCUACUACUCUUGAAGAAGCAAAAGAAGUUGCUGUAGAUGAACUUGAAGAACCAGAAAUUCAUUUGCCUAUUGUCAUACAAGAGCGUGAUGUAGCAGGUUUGAGGUGA
rnacentral:rRNA from 1 species